ensembl:lncRNA LINC00293 long intergenic non-protein coding RNA 293
GUAUCUAGGCCAAUUGCCUAGGUGAAGUGAGUUUCCUCUCUUGCCAAAGUCCUGCCCACAGAGGGGGUUUUGAUAUGUCACUGAAAUCAGCAUUCAGGUGAUGUGACUCUUCUGCCAGGGUCCUGCGUACUAGGUGGAUUGUGACAUCUCACUGGACCCGCAACCAUGUAGGUCAUGUGACUUUCAUGCCUUCUCACUGGCCACAGGUGAUGUUGUGCCAUAUAACUGAGACCGUAUCAAAAGCCUAAUAACAAGACGUAUGUCUGGAGCCCCGAUAUGCACAGGAUGGUGAUAUAACCCUCUUCUCUGGAAUGGGCCCCACACAAAGGAAGGAUAGUGACAUAUUGCAAGCCCAGGCACACAGAUCCUGGCCUGCUCUUGCACACAUAUCUCAAGCCCCACACCCCGGGUUCCUGGAUCAUCAAUUUGUCUAAGCCUCCAGAGCCUCCACCGGCUCAUGGCCUGAGAAUGGGAUCUGUCUGGCAAUCAAUCUUUUUCAGCAGUGCUGAAGAUCUAACCUCACAGAAAAGAGUCUAAGGCAAAAAACGAAAGCCAGCUUUUGCCAGGCAAAGCACCUUGUGCCUCUCCCAGGCAUCUAGCAUGCUCCUGCAUAGCCCAGGCUCAGCCUGGGGCCUCUCGCUCUCAUCAGGGCACGUGCAGACAAGGAGCCACCGUUCAACUUCACAGAGAGGCCACAUUCUUGCCCUGGUCUUGAAAGAAUCCCAGACUGUAAUGGAAAAGGAUCGACGUGGGAGAAAGAGGUUUGCUCACUUUCUGACUUGUUCUCUCGUGCUCACCUAAAUCUCUGUCUUUGGACAUCGCCCUCAGUGCUGUCAGGAGUCUGGAUGCACAAUUGGGGUCCUCUGCACCAAUUCUCCCCUGGGCAGACACCUGGAAAUAUCUGGGUUUGCUCAGGGCCUGCUCCUCCUACUGCAGCAAGUGUUCCUGCCAGGACCCUGUAAACAGAGAAGGCAUGCAUCCUCUGCAGGGACUCCUGGUGCCACAUGUCCCAUGAGUCAACAGAUGUAUAUGAUAUUUACUUGGAGCCAACACAAGAUUCUGUUCUCCCAACUCUUGGUCAUGAGCCCUAUGUCCUACAGGCUGCAUGCUCAGCUUUGUCUCUUAGUUUAACUGGGAAGUCCAUCAUUAUUGUCCACAGCAAUGCGUGUCUGGAGCACACAUUAUUGAAUUCCUGCAGACCUGGGUUCGAGUUCUCAUUCUGCAGUUUAUUAGCUAGACCACCCAAUAAAACCACUGUUACUCUAAA